CAGGUGGAUUCUUUACCCUUUGAGCCACCAGGGACACCCCUUUUAUGCUAUGGCACCCCUCGAUUGGAACUUGCCACAUUUCACAAGUGUGGAGCCACCAAGAUGAGAAAAACUGAGACCUGGAAAAUGGAGAAAAAUAUGCCACUGGGCAGGGAGGCAGGACAAAGGACCAAACAUCAGAUACAUUUUUCUUUCCCGUCUCCCUCUCUUCAGGGUGUCUUCUCCUCCACUUUGGAGCUCCAGAGCUUCUCCACCUUUGUUUUUCAGGCUAUUAAAGUGCACACCCACAGAAAAGUAAAUGGAAGGAAGCAGGCGCCCCGUGACUACCACCGUGUGCAGGUUGGUACACGUCCUUCAGGUUUAAUUUUGUGAAUAUUUUCAUUUUACAUAGUGAGAACCACACACACAUAUAUUUCUGUAGAUUCCUUCCUUCAUUUAACAUCACAUAGCAUAAACAUCCUCACAUGAUACUAAGAAUUCUGCAUAAUUAUUCUUAACAGCUUCAGAAUAUCCUUGCCUCAAACCAGCCUACCGUUUGAACAAUCCGCUGUUUCUAGACACCUUCUGUGUUUCCACUAUUUUGUUAUGAAAAAUAACAUUGUGAUAAAUUCCAACUUUGCUCCACAUUUUGGACUUUUUUUUUUUUUUAGUAGACAACUAGAAUCACUAGGUCAAAGGUGGAGGAUAAAACAAAUGUCCU